GAAAGAAAAAGAAAGAAAGGAAGGAAGGAGCAAAAGAAAAGAUAUGGCUGUUCCUACAUAUGGAGGAUGAGAAAGUUUAUUGCAGAUAUGAGAGAGAACAUAGCCAGAGACAGACACAUCUGGGAGAAUCCAGAGCCUUGUAGAGAAAUGGGGAGGGGAAGGGAGAGAGGGGAACCAAGUACAGCAACUGGAGCUCAAAGGUACCCAAGGAGCAGGUAAACCAGAAAAGAACCAGGAGCUUCUGGAGCUAACUCUGCCUUCCGUAAGGAAGGACCACUGAUUGGAGCCCAAGAGCAGAGCAUAAGCCAUGCAGUGCCCUGAGAAGAGAGUACAGGCACUCAACCCACAGAGUACAUUGCAGGGCGCCUGCAAACCACCUGUACCUGCGUUAGGACCUGAGCGGGGGUCUUCCCCCCAACAGUGAGGAACGCUGCUGAAGGCUCUUUCUUGGUAGAGCCUCCCUCUUUACUGGAGAAGCUUGGUAAAGGAGGGGCAAAGGGUCCAACUCCUCUGCUGAGGUCUUUGUCGCAGUUGCAUUAACCCAGUCUGCUUCCUUCACCCCACGGAUGUUGUUCCCAAGAGCUCCUCACGCCUCCCACAUGAGCAUCCCCAUCUCAGGAUCUGUUUCCAGGGAAACGAACACAAGGCAAACCAGUCUUUCAUAACCGCGGUGUCUGCUCUACGUCAACACCACUAGGGUCCUGUGGGAAGAGUGAACUAGCCUGGAAACCCCAUGCUCAUCGUCUUGCACCUGGAGGGGCGGGUGCAUUAGAAACUAGUCAAGAGGACAGGAAGCAUAGAGGGAGGCCAUUGCUAGCCUAUGCGGAGGAGGGGAUCCCAGGAUUUCCAGAUUUGAAACACAUCCUUUUUAGCAUUUCCAGACACCGCGAGCUAGCGAGCGAGCGAGUGGCUCUCACCAUCCGGAAACUCUUCCUACUUCAAAGCCAGAAUCCCUCCUUCCUUAAAGCGUCCCCACUUCCUUUCCCCUUUUCCUCAUGUGGCUGUGUUCUUGCCAGCAAAGAAAGUUGAAAAGGAACAAAGGCAUAUGGUUUUCCUAUUAAGACUGACGCCCACGUGUGAGGGGAGCCAGAGGGGAGCGUUCGAAUAAGGGCAACGGAAAUACGUUUAUGUGACAUUCAUUUUGUAGGCUGGUUUUUAGAAAGCUUACCACAAACAAUGAGAGUUCUCCUUUGUUCCGCUCAUUACAUUUUUGGAAUAUUUAGAAUAUUCUGGAAACACGGCUACAAAAAGGCAGGAGAAUUCAGGAGACCCCGCUACAAAAAGGCAGGAGAAUUCAGGAGACCCUGGGUCUGGCUUAUCACCCUGGGUCUGGGUGCAGACUUAAUUCUGGGGUGCAGACUUAAUUCUGAGCUGCACAUGGUGGCGCAGACCUGGAGUCUCAGCUACUCAGCAGGGGUGAGGUAGUGGCCGUCACCUGAGCCUGGCCAGAGCCACACUGGAAGAACCCAUCCCGUCCUACCCCCUCCCUCCUAAGUCUAAUUUCUGCCAGACAUUAGCUGUGGACCUACCAUGGUAUAUGCUCAAAAUUCCCUACACUCAAGAGGCUGAGGCAGAGGGAUUGUGAGUUUGAGACCAGCCUGGAUUACAUAGAGAGAGAAACCAUGUCUCAAAAAAGCCAAGGGGCUGAGAGAAAGCCAUCCUAAACUCUGGUUAAAGAGCUCACUAUGUGAACCCAAAGAUAAGAACUGGGGUUCAAAUCCUCAGAGCUCACAUAAAUACUGGGUUGCUGCGGUGGCUUUGAUAAUCCUCAGCUUCCCCUAUGGGACAAAGGGGGUCACUUGCCUUAUAGGGUCCUUGCCUAGUGCAAAUGUCCUUGCAAUGGAAAAGAUAGGGGAGGGAGACAAAGAGAGGGGGUGGGAGGCGGGAGGAAAGACAGAAAGACAUGCAGCUAGAAGGGAAGUGUCACUCAGGCCAGAGCUAGACCUCACUUGGCAGAGGGCUCACCUAGCAGGGUCUUUUCUACCAUGCUGUGUGCCCUGAUCGAGCUGGCCCACUCCCCCUUCCAUCUCAGCAGAGGAUGGCUGCAGUUGUUGACAUCUAGCUACUUUCUGUACAUUCCGAGGACAGUUUGGCAGGCUUUUGUGGCAAGCACCUUUACCUCCACAUCUCCUGCUCAUGCCUGAAAACGUCUGUUGUGCAUAUAAACCUCAUUUUCCUUACCCAGUCUGCUGUUCAUACAGGGUUGCAAUAAACAUUGAUUUGCAAAUGU
rnacentral:sRNA from 1 species